AAAAGAGAGCGGAGGUGAGGCUGUUAGAAUGCACUGUAUAAUCCACCAAGAAGCACUGUGUGCCAAGACUGUCCAGCUGGGCGAUGUGAUGAACACUGUCAUAAAAACUGUCAACGUAAUUCGAGCAAGAGGACUGUACCACAGAGAAUUUCAGGCUUUCCUAUCUGAUGUGGAUGCUGAAUAUGGGGAUAUACUCUACCACACUGAUGUGCGCUGGCUCAGCCGCAGCUCUGUGCCGCAGCGUUUUUUUCCGCUGAGAUCAGAAAUCGACCAGUUUUUAAAAGAGAAGGGCCGACUUCUUCAUGAGGUAAGUGACCCUCUGUGGCUGGCCGACCUGGCAUUUUUAGUUGAUCUUACGCAUCAUCUGAAUACACUGAAAGAGAACCUACAAGGCAAAGAACAGCUGGUGCCACACCUGCAUGCGCACAUGAAAGCCUUCUGCGUGAAGCUCCGCCUGUUUGGGACACAACUACGAGGCUUUAAUGCUGCACACUUCCCUGCGCUGUCUGAAAUCAAGUCUGCUUUUCCAAACGCUGACCUUUCUGCUAAAAAGGAGAAAUAUGUGUCUGUGAUUGCCUCUCUCAUGACAGAAUUCAACCAGCGUUUCCAAGAAUUUUCUGCCAUUGAAAAACAAAUCAAGCUGUUCUCGACCCCCUUCCUGGUGGAUGCAGAAGAAGUGGAAGAGAGUCUGCAGUUAGAGCUGAUUGAAAUUCAAUGUGAUGAUUCUCUGAAGAGUCAGCAUCAGCUUCUCCCCCUCCCCCAAUUCUAUCAGAGUUUGGAUAAUGCCAAGUUUCCUCUGAUGAUCGCCACGCAAAAAGAAUGAUGAGCCUGUUCGGCUCCACAUACACAGUCCUGUAUGUGAACAAACAUUUUCUCUGUUAAAUCAGAACGAAAGCAGACUGAGAACCAGAAUGACUGAUAGCCAUCUCUGUGAAGCCCUUCGUGUCUCAACCACCAAACUUUCUCCUGACAUGUCAGCCAUCCUUCAAUCCAAAGGACAGCAUCACUGCUCUCACUGAGUGCAAUGUUCUUUACAUUAUAUGUGAGUUAGAAAUACACAGUAUUCAUGUGUCAGUAUGUCAUCUCUAGUGUGUGGCCCAGCCCUUUGUUUAUUUUUCUGUAUUUAGCCCUCACUAAAAAAAGUUUGGACACCCCUGUUGUAAUAAGUGAAGGAACGCCUACUCACUGUGACUGUCUUCUGCCCUCAUUAAUUAAAGAAUGCAUAGAGCA